rnacentral:rRNA from 1 species
AGAGUUUGAUCAUGGCUCAGAUUGUACGCUGGCGGAAUGCUUUACACAUGCAAGUCGAGCGGCAGCGCGGGGCAACCUGGCGGCGAGCGGCGAACGGGUGAGUAAUGCAUCGGAACAUGUCCUGUCGUGGGGGAUAGCCCGGCGAAAGCCGGAUUAAUACCGCAUACGUCCGAGAGGAGAAAGUGGGGGACCCGCAAGGGCCUCACGCGAUUGGAUUGGCCGAUGUCCGAUUAGCUAGUCGGUGGGGUAAAGGCCUACCAAGGCGAUGAUCGGUAGCUGGUCUGAGAGGACGAUCAGCCACACUGGGACUGAGACACGGCCCAGACUCCUACGGGAGGCAGCAGUGGGGAAUUUUGGACAAUGGGGGCAACCCUGAUCCAGCCAUUCCGCGUGAGUGAAGAAGGCCUUC